UGGGGAAUAUUGCACAAUGGGGGAAACCCUGAUGCAGCGACGCCGCGUGAACGAAGAAGGUAUUCGUAUCGUAAAGUUCUGUCCUAUGGGAAGAUAAUGACAGUACCAUAGAAGAAAGCUCCGGCUAAAUACGUGCCAGCAGCCGCGGUAAUACGUAUGGAGCGAGCGUUGUCCGGAAUUAUUGGGCGUAAAGGGUACGCAGGCGGUUUAAUAAGUCGAAUGUUAAAGAUCGGGGCUCAACCCCGCAAAGCAUUGGAAACUGAUAAACUUGAGUAGUGGAGAGGAAAGUGGAAUUCCUAGUGUAGUGGUGAAAUACGUAGAUAUUAGGAGGAAUACCAGUAGCGAAGGCGACUUUCUGGACACAAACUGACGCUGAGGUACGAAAGCGUGGGGAGAAAACAGG
rnacentral:rRNA from 1 species